rnacentral:rRNA from 1 species
GAUGAACGCUGGCGGCGUGCCUAAUACAUGCAAGUCGAGCGGAGAAUUUAGCAAUAGAUUCUUAGCGGCGAACGGGUGAGUAACGCGUUGGUGACCUGCCUCGAAGUUUGGGAUAACAGUUCGAAAGGACUGCUAAUACCGGAUGUGAUCGCGGAGAUUAGAGGCUCUGUGAUUAAAGGAGAAAUUCGCUUCGAGAGGGGCCUGCGUCCCAUCAGCUAGUUGGUAAGGUAAAGGCUUACCAAGGCGAUGACGGGUAGGGGACC